UUCUCACUGGCCACAGGGAAGUGCCAGUCCCAGCAAAUUAAGCUUUGAAAAUAGUCUGUUAAGUAAUUUCUCUAAUCGCCGGCUGCUAUUGGUAGUAGCCCCUGUCGGUGUCUGGACUGACCCCCAUCAGCAGCUCUAAACGCUGACCCCAAUGCUACAUACCUGGGUUUACCCACUCCAUGGUCAUUAAGAUGUCCCCAGGCUAACCAUGGAAGCACAGAAGCAGCUCUAGGAAGGAUGCUGGUGACCUGCCCAUCCACACAGCAUCUGGAUCUCUAACCUGCUCCACACACCUCCUCCCGUUCUUUCUGUUAGAAGCAAACUGAGUUUACCUUACUUCUUUUUCAAAACCCCAAAUCAACAAUGCCCUAGCAAAUAUUUGACAAGCAGCUUCCAGAGUAAAGUCACUUUACUCGACAUGGGAAUCUCAUCUCAAGACAGCAGAACACCAAGGCAGAUUUCCAAAGGCUAUGAUCUACUCUUGGAUGCCCAGGUCGGAUCAUAAGUUCUAUCCAGUAAUCAAAGCUUGCUUUCUGACCCUUGGUAGUUUGAGUUUUCUCUCCUCUGUCCAUGGUCCUGGAUUCAGGACAUUAUUGAGGGUGGGUCUCUGGAGAAUAGAUACAUUUUUUUCCCUACUCACUCUGAGACUGCUGACACCCGGGAGCCUCAUGCCUCAACUCUAAGGCCAUUUUCUUGGACUAGUUUCGCAUUUUUCAGGCAACAGGCGAAGUCAAAUUUUACCUGAGUUUCAUACCAAAGAUCUAUGUUGGAGCCAUGGGCCCACAACUGGCCAGUUAAAUCACAGGGUUUCCUGGGCUAGAAGAAGAAACUAUGCACCAAGAACUACUUCAAAUGUGAGGCAAGUUCUAGAAGAAAUGGUAGGAAAGCCAGGCUCUACGAGGACUCUUUCAUCAUUGUGUAAGACAAAGAAGAGACUAUACAGAAGGAGACUGGAUUUUGGCCUGCCUGGGAGUGGGGAAGGUGGGUAAGAAGUUCCCCUUUAAUCAGAGCCUGGUGGGAAGCCAGGGAAGCUGUGGCUGUGGCUGAUGACUGAUCUGAUGGUGGCUGGAAUGGAGAGAGCUCCACAGCAGAGCUGAAUGUACUGUGCAUAUGUAUGGGCUAUGGGCAUGUAUGUGUUUGCAGGCAUGUGUUUGCUGCUGCUUUUCUCCCUCUGACUGAUGGCUGGCACUCCAGGUAUCCAAGUGCUGCCGGGAUCCUCCUACUCUAUUCCACUUUGGUGUGGAUUUGGGGAGAGCAAGUGAGAUACGGGUCGAUGUCUCUCUUAAGUAACCUCCAAGGGGACUUUCUCAGCUAUCAGGAAAUUCUGCUCCAUGCUGUUAUCCAGAGACCCAUAUUCCUUUAAUUUUGUUUCUUUAUCUUUAAA